rnacentral:tRNA from 1 species
UCCCUGGUGGCUCAGAUGGUAAAGCAUCUGUCUACAAUGCAGGAGACCGGGGUUCGAUCCCUGGGUCGGGAA